CGUCCGAUAACGCUCCUGCCUGUGUUCUCUCUGUCAAGGAGUGCAAAAGCUUCGGUCACAGCGGAGUCCGGGGCAUCACAAGGGAAGAAGCCCACAGCCAAAGUAGCAGUCGUAGCUGGUCUAAAAAUAUGUCCCCAACAUGAAGAAAGGUCAGAAGAAGAGAAAGCCCCAUCAAUAUCCAUAAUAUAAUUGAAAUUAAAAAUAUUACAUUAAUGAGAGAGAUCCAAACUCUUCACUAACCCAUUGACGGAGGGAAAUGAAUCAUUCAAUACGAAUGACGUUUCACCAUCGUCGGAAAGCUACUGUGGGAACUUAGACUUGCGCCUGAGCUGGCUUCCAGACCAAAAGCCCUACUAUAAUUCAUGAAAGAAACGAUAACUUUAGACACCAUACAAACCGAACACCCAAGUACUAAACAUAGGGAAUAACUGAUCCACAGAAAUAGGCAGAAGAUAAGAGGAAGUGAAACACAUCAACAGAUGGCCUAAACCAGCAUGUUCUCUUUUUUUAACUUACUUUUUUCUACAAUAUUAAUACAAGAUGCUUUUAGGUAGACCCGAAUUUGUGACUACCAUUACGUUAAUACCAGAUGCUCUUACAUGGAAACAAAUAGGAGAUCUUAUCGACCAUGCAACAACAUGACAAAUCAUUAUGAUGGUUCAACCAAAAACAUUUGAUAUGUCAGUUACGAGUGCAUAUACACACGAAAAAGGGAACACAGAAAUCGGCUGAAAAGUCAUUUGUAAGAUACUACAUGGAUUCUCAACGAAAAGUCAUACCUUUGCAUGAAAAUGGUAAAGGCACUUGUGAUUAUGACGGGUAAUAUCAAUCAGAAACCAUAUUGUACAUACAGAUUUCUUUUCUGGUGGGUGAUUAGAGUAGUGCAAGAGAAUAAUUAUUAAGUGGUUUCGACAUGUCCACGUUUAGUUAAAUGCAUUUGUAAAGGAUGAGAGAGGGAAGAUAUAAAAAAGACCUUAUCACUACAUGGGAGAUACCUUCCUUGGAUCUCAAGACUUCACAUUCAAGAGAGCGAGAUGGCAGAAUAAGCUCCAU
rnacentral:lncRNA from 1 species